UGGCUUAACUUCAUCACAGAGAGGGAGGAAAAAUACGGCCGAUCCCCCUAAGCCGCGAUUGACGGCCCGGAAUCGCGAAGAGGAGUUUGCUCUCAAGCUCGUAACGCGGACGCCAACAAGGGAAGGAUUUCUGGGUAAGUAAACUCCGAAGCCCUAAACCGCAGAGAGGAAGUCGGCCGAACAAUUUCUUGCAGGUGAGGAUCGAUUUCUGGUUCAGGCCGACCAAACGACUUCAUUUUAACCCCUUCCUUUUUGUCGUUGUUGUGUAUAUAUAACUUCUCACUUCGCUUUUCUCACAAUGAGAGUGAGAUAAGAUAGGGCUAGAGGGAUUAGGGAUACGACCAAACAAUAGGUGUUUUAUUGAAUUUUUUUCCCAAACAAUCAUCAUUUGUUAGCCGGAAAAGAUUGAAGAAGUCGCCGGAAACCAUGGUUGCUGGAGGCAGAGGAGGUUGUGGUUUCUCUACCUGAUGACCUUGUCCUCUGUAUCCUCACCAAACUCAGCUCUUGGCUGAGUGUUCAUCAGAUCUUGUAUCUUUCCGUGGUCAGAGGCUUGUAAAAAUUAGCAUCGUAACCUCAAGGGACCGUUACAAGAAUUAUACACGCACAUUGAUUGAAGACAGCUUGUGAAAUUCAAAUAUCCAUUACUAUCAUAUGGGGGCCACCUGGAUAAGGAAGAUUUCAUUAGUGUUCUGAUCAUGUGUAAGAGAUUUCAAGGUUUAAGCCUUCAAUCUCAAAGUUUUAUUGAAAGCUUCACCGAAAGCUGCGUCAAGGAUAUUUUCUAAG